GCCGUCAUCGUCCAAGGGCAGGGCCCGCGCCCCGUAAGCGCGAGAUGCCGGUUCAAAUCCGGCUGACGGCUCCA
rnacentral:tRNA from 1 species